UACGGAGGGUGCAAGCGUUAUCCGGAUUCACUGGGUUUAAAGGGUGCGUAGGUGGGUUGGUAAGUCAGUGGUGAAAUCUCCGAGCUUAACUUGGAAACUGCCAUUGAUACUAUCAGUCUUGAAUAUUGUGGAGGUCAGCGGAAUAUGUCAUGUAGCGGUGAAAUGCUUAGAUAUGACAUAGAACACCAAUUGCGAAGGCAGCUGGCUACACAUAUAUUGACACUGAGGCACUAAAGCGUGGGGAUCAAACAGG
rnacentral:rRNA from 1 species